GUGAGGAAUAUUGCGCAAUGGGCGAAAGCCUGACGCAGCGACGCCGCGUGGGGGAUGAAGGUCUUCGGAUUGUAAACCCCUUUCAGGAGGGAAGAUGGAACGGGCAACCGUUCGGACGGUACCUCCAGAAGCAGCCACGGCUAACUUCGUGCCAGCAGCCGCGGUAAUACGAAGGUGGCAAGCGUUGUUCGGAUUUACUGGGCGUAAAGGGAGCGUAGGCGGUUGGGUAAGCCCUUUGGGAAAGCUCCCGGCUUAACCGGGAAAGGUCGAAGGGGACUGCCUGGCUAGAGGGUGGGAGAGGAGCGCGGAAUUCCCGGUGUAGCGGUGAAAUGCGUAGAGAUCGGGAGGAAGGCCGGUGGCGAAGGCGGCGCUCUGGAACAUUUCUGACGCUGAGGCUCGAAAGCGUGGGGAGCAAACAGG
rnacentral:rRNA from 1 species